rnacentral:rRNA from 1 species
GAUGAACGCUGGCGGCGUGCCUAAUGCAUGCAAGUCGAGCGACGCACGUCGGAGGGGUAACCCACCGGCAUGACGGAGCGGCGAACGGGUGAGUAACACGUGAGCAACCUGCCCCACAGACCGGGAUAGCCCAGGGAAACCUGGAUUAAUACCGGAUAUCCUCGAUCGAUCACAUGAUCGGACGAGGAAAUGCCUUUGUGCUGUGGGAUGGGCUCGCGGCUUAUCAGCUAGUUGGUGGGGUAACGGCCUACCAAGGCAUCGACGAGUAGCUGGUCUGAGAGGACGAUCAGCCACACUGGGACUGAGACACGGCCCAGACUCCUACGGGAGGCAGCAGCAGGGAAUCUUGCGCAAUGGGCGAAAGCCUGACGCAGCAACGCCGCGUGGGGGAUGAAGGCCUUCGGUUGUAACCCCUUUCAGGAGGGAAGAAAUUGACGGUACCUCCAGAAGAAGCACCGGCCAACUACGUGCCAGCAGCCGCGGUAAUAC